rnacentral:rRNA from 1 species
ACAAACGCUGGGGCGUGCUUAUACAUGCAAGUCGAACGAGGUAGCAAUACCUAGUGGCGCACGGGUGAGUAACGCGGGGAUAAUCUGCCUUAGAGUGGGGGAUAACCAGUCGAAAGACUGGCUAAUACCGCAUAAGACCACAAGAUCUGCGGAUCAAGGGGUCAAAGGUUUUUCGCUCUAAGAUGAGUCCGCGUAAGAUUAGCUAGUUGGUGAGGUAAUGGCUCACCAAGGCGACGAUCUUUAACUGGUCUGAGAGGAUGAUCAGUCACACUGGAACUGAGACACGGUCCAGACUCCUACGGGAGGCAGCAGUAGGGAAUAUUGCACAAUGGAGGAAACUCUGAUGCAGCGACGCCGCGUGAGUGAUGAAGGCCUUCGGGUCGUAAAGCUCUGUCGCAGGGGAAUAACACAAUGAAUGUACCCUGUAAGAAAGGAUCGGCUAACUUCGUGCCAGCAGCCGCGGUAAGACGAGGGAUCCUAGCGUUGUUCGGAAUUAUUGGGCGUAAAGCGGGUGCAGGUGGCUAUGUAAGUCAGGUGUGAAAGCCUGGGGCUCAACCCCAGAAGUGCAUUUGAUACUGCGUAGCUUGAGUGGUAGAGAGGAUAGUAGAAUUCUUGGUGUAGUGGUGAAAUACGUAGAUAUCAAGAGGAAUACCGGUGGCGAAGGCGGCUAUCUGGCUACGCACUGACACUCAGACCCGAAAGCGUGGGGAUCAAACAGGAUUAGAUACCCUGGUAGUCCACGCCAUAAACGAUGGAUACUUGUUGUUGGAGGGAUUGACCCCUUCAGUGACGAAGCUAACGCGUUAAGUAUCCCGCCUGGGGAGUACGGCGCAAGAUUA